rnacentral:rRNA from 1 species
CGUAGGGUGCAAGCGUUGUCCGGAAUUAUUGGGCGUAAAGAGCUCGUCGGCGGUCUGUCGCGUCGGCUGUGAAAACCCGGAGCUCAACUCCGGGCCUGCAGUCGAUACGGGCAGACUGGAGUUCGGCAGGGGAGACUGGAAUUCCUGGUGUAGCGGUGAAAUGCGCAGAUAUCAGGAGGAACACCGGUGGCGAAGGCGGGUCUCUGGGCCGAUACUGACGCUGAGACGCGAAAGCGUGGGGAGCGAACCGG